rnacentral:rRNA from 1 species
UGGGGAAUAUUGCACAAUGGGCGAAAGCCUGAUGCAGCGACGCCGCGUGAGGGAUGACGGCCUUCGGGUUGUAAACCUCUUUCAGCAGGGAAGAAGCGAAAGUGACGGUACCUGCAGAAGAAGCACCGGCUAACUACGUGCCAGCAGCCGCGGUAAUACGUAGGGUGCGAGCGUUGUCCGGAAUUAUUGGGCGUAAAGAGCUUGUAGGCGGUUUGUCGCGUCUGCCGUGAAAAUCCGGGGCUCAACCCCGGACUUGCGGUGGGUACGGGCAGACUAGAGUGUGGUAGGGGAGACUGGAAUUCCUGGUGUAGCGGUGAAAUGCGCAGAUAUCAGGAGGAACACCGAUGGCGAAGGCAGGUCUCUGGGCCACUACUGACGCUGAGAAGCGAAAGCGUGGGGAGCGAACA